UACGUAGGUGGCAAGCGUUAUCCGGAUUUAUUGGGCGUAAAGGGAACGCAGGCGGUCUUUUAAGUCUGAUGUGAAAGCGUUCGGCUUAACCGGAGUAGUGCAUUGGAAACUGGGAGACUUGAGUGCAGAAGAGGAGAGUGGAACUCCAUGUGUAGCGGUGAAAUGCGUAGAUAUAUGGAAGAACACCAGUGGCGAAAGCGGCUCUCUGGUCUGUAACUGACGCUGAGGUUCGAAAGCGUGGGUAGCAAACAGG
rnacentral:rRNA from 1 species